rnacentral:rRNA from 1 species
GAUGAACGCUGGCGGCGUGCCUAAUACAUGCAAGUCGAGCGAACGGACGAGAAGCUUGCUUCUCUGAUGUUAGCGGCGGACGGGUGAGUAACACGUGGAUAACCUACCUAUAAGACUGGGAUAACUUCGGGAAACCGGAGCUAAUACCGGAUAAUAUUUUGAACCGCAUGGUUCAAAAGUGAAAGACGGCCUUGCUGUCACUUAUAGAUGGAUCCGCGCUGCAUUAGCUAGUUGGUAAGGUAACGGCUUACCAAGGCAACGAUGCAUAGCCGACCUGAGAGGGUGAUCGGCCACACUGGAACUGAGACACGGUCCAGACUCCUACGGGAGGCAGCAGUAGGGAAUCUUCCGCAAUGGGCGAAAGCCUGACGGAGCAACGCCGCGUGAGUGAUGAAGGUCUUCGGAUCGUAAAACUCUGUUAUUAGGGAAGAACAUAUGUGUAAGUAACUGUGCACAUCUUGACGGUACCUAAUCAGAAAGCCACGGCUAACUACGUGCCAGCAGCCGCGGUAAUACGUAGGUGGCAAGCGUUAUCCGGGAUUAUUGGGCGUAAAGCGCGCGUAGGCGGUUUUUUAGUCUGAUGUGAAAGCCCACGGCUCACCGUGGAGGGUCAUUGGAAACUGGAAAACUUGAGUGCAGAAGAGGAAAGUGGAAUUCCAUGUGUAGCGGUGAAAUGCGCAGAGAUAUGGAGGAACACCGGUGGCGAAGGCGACUUUCUGGUCUGUAACUGACGCUGAUGUGCGAAAGCGUGGGGAUCAAACAGGAUUAGAUACCCUGGUAGUCCACGCCGUAAACGAUGAGUGCUAAGUGUUAGGGGGUUUCCGCCCCUUAGUGCUGCAGCUAACGCAUUAAGCACUCCGCCUGGGAAGUACGACCGCAAGGUUGAAACUCAAAGGAAUUGACGGGGACCCGCACAAGCGGUGGAGCAUGUGGUUUAAUUCGAAGCAACGCGAAGAACCUUACCAAAUCUUGACAUCCUUUGACAACUCUAGAGAUAGAGCCUUCCCCUUCGGGGGACAAAGUGACAGGUGGUGCAUGGUUGUCGUCAGCUCGUGUCGUGAGAUGUUGGGUUAAGUCCCGCAACGAGCGCAACCCUUAAGCUUAGUUGCCAUCAUUAAGUUGGGCACUCUAAGUUGACUGCCGGUGACAAACCGGAGGAAGGUGGGGAUGACGUCAAAUCAUCAUGCCCCUUAUGAUUUGGGCUACACACGUGCUACAAUGGACAAUACAAAGGGCAGCGAAACCGCGAGGUCAAGCAAAUCCCAUAAAGUUGUUCUCAGUUCGGAUUGUAGUCUGCAACUCGACUACAUGAAGCUGGAAUCACUAGUAAUCGUAGAUCAGCAUGCUACGGUGAAUACGUUCCCGGGUCU